GGGGUUGUAGCUCAGUGGCAGAGUGCUUGCCUAGUACCUAGAGGUACUGGGUUCAAUCCUCAGCACCACA
rnacentral:tRNA from 1 species